AUUGAACGCUGGCGGCAUGCUUUACACAUGCAAGUCGAACGGCAGCGCGGGCUUCGGCCUGGCGGCGAGUGGCGAACGGGUGAGUAAUACAUCUGAACGUGCCCAGUAGUGGGGGAUAGCUCGGCGAAAGCCGGAUUAAUACCGCAUACGACCUGAUGUUGAAAGCGGGGGAUCUUCGGACCUCGCGCUAUUGGAGCAGCCGAUGUGAGAUUAGCUAGUUGGUGGGGUAAAGGCCUACCAAGGCUACGAUCUGUAGCUGGUCUGAGAGGACGACCAGCCACAUUGGCACUGAGAAAGGGCCCAGACUCCGGCGCGAGGACGCAGUCGGGAAUCUUGGACAAGGGGGGAGAGGGUGAUACAGGAAUACGGCGGGAGUGAUGAAGGCGUUAUGGUGGGAAAGCAAUUAAGGCGGGAAGGAAGAAAAGCGUGUUAAUACGGGGGGUUAAUGACGGUACCGGGAGAAUAAGCACCGGCUAACUACGUG
rnacentral:rRNA from 1 species